AUGGGAUUUUUGCUUCUGUUCAUUUUCGCUGUAGCAGCUUUGGAAGGUGUCCGGUCCCAGGUGCAGCUGGUGGAGUCCGGAGGGGAUGUGAAAAAGCCCGGAGACUCUCACCGCCUCUCCUGCAAAGCCUCCGGGUUCACCUUCAGCAGCGCCUACAUGAAUUGGGUCCGACAGGCUCCCGGGAAGGAACUUGAAUGGGUCGCUCAUAUAAACCCUAGUUUGGGUACUGCAUACCCUGAUUCAGUGAAAGGCCGAUUCACCAUCUCCAGGGAUAAUCCCAAGAGUGAGCUGUAUCUGCAAAUGACCGGCCUGAAGCCCGAGGACACCGCCCGCUAUUACUGUGACAUCGGAGAACUGGAGUCCCAAGAAUGGAUGAAAGAAACCCACGGCAGUGAAUGUACUAAAAACAGCCUAAAGUUCAACUACAAUAUCAGCUACACCCAGAUUCAGAAUCCGAAGCCCCGGGUCUGUGCAGAUACCAGCCAAUCCCGUGAGAACCUUCCCCUCCAGCACCAGGGGAAAUGA